ACUCUGGAAUAGCCUUUCGAAAGAAAGAUUAAUACCGGAUAGCAUACGAAUAUCGCAUGAUAUUUUUAUUAAAGAAUUUCGGUUAUCGAUGGGGAUGCGUUCCAUUAGUUUGUUGGCGGGGUAACGGCCCACCAAGACUACGAUGGAUAGGGGUUCUGAGAGGAAGGUCCCCCACAUUGGAACUGAGACACGGUCCAAACUCCUACGGGAGGCAGCAGUGAGGAAUAUUGGUCAAUGGGCGCAGGCCUGAACCAGCCAAGUAGCGUGAAGGAUGAAGGCUCUAUGGGUUGUAAACUUCUUUUAUAUGGGAAUAAAGUUUUCCACGUGUGGAAUUUUGUAUGUACCAUAUGAAUAAGGAUCGGCUAACUCCGUGCCAGCAGCCGCGGUAAUACGGAGGAUCCGAGCGUUAUCCGGAUUUAUUGGGUUUAAAGGGAGCGUAGGUGGAUUGUUAAGUCAGUUGUGAAAGUUUGCGGCUCAACCGUAAAAUUGCAGUUGAAACUGGCAGUCUUGAGUACAGUAGAGGUGGGCGGAAUUCGUGGUGUAGCGGUGAAAUGCUUAGAUAUCACGAAGAACUCCGAUUGCGAAGGCAGCUCACUAGACUGUCACUGACACUGAUGCUCGAAAGUGUGGGUAUCAAACAGGAUUAGAUACCCUGGUAGUCCACACAGUAAACGA
rnacentral:rRNA from 1 species